AUUGAACGCUGGCGGCAGGCUUAACACAUGCAAGUCGAGCGGGGUGAUGGUGCUUGCACUAUCACUUAGCGGCGGACGGGUGAGUAUGCUUAGGAAUCUGCCUAUUAGUGGGGGACAACAUCUCGAAAGGGAUGCGAAUACCGCAUACGUCCUACGGGAGAAAGCAGGAGAUCACUUGUGACCUUGCGCUAAUAGAUGAGCCUAAGUCGGAUUAGCUCGUUGGUGGGGUACAGGCCUACCAAGGCGACGAUCUGUAGCGGGUCUGAGAGGAUGAUCCGCCACACUGGGACUGAGACACGGCCCAGACUCCUACGGGAGGCAGCAGUGGGGAAUAUUGGACAAUGGGGGGAACCCUGAUCCAGCCAUGCCGCGUGUGUGAAGAAGGCCUUAUGGUUGUAAAGCACUUUAAGCGAGGAGGAGGCUCUUUUGGUUAAUACCCAAGAUGAGUGGACGUUACUCGCAGAAUAAGCACCGGCCAACUCUGUGCCAGCAGCCGCCGUAA
rnacentral:rRNA from 1 species